UGGAACGGUGUCUUGUGGAACUGUGGC
rnacentral:piRNA from 1 species